GAUGAACGCUAGCAGCAGGCCUAAUACAUGCAAUCGAACGGGAUCCACCAGCUUGCUGGUGGUGAGAGUGGCGCACGGGUGCGUAACGCGUGAGCAACCUACCCGUCCCAGGGGGAUAGCCCCUCGAAAGAGGGAUUAACACCGCAUGACGUUGAGAUGUGGCAUCACAUUUCGACCAAAUAUUCAUAGGGGACGAUGGG
rnacentral:rRNA from 1 species